ensembl:lncRNA
GACGGUUUAGACUUAGGUACGCGUGGCAAGAUGACAGAACCCAGAGUUCUGACCAAGAUCACAGAACCCAGAGUUCAGACCAAGAUGGAGAAGCCAGAUUUCAGAAUAAGAUGAUAAAACCAGAGUUCAGAUCAAGAUGGUAGGGUCCAGAGUUCAGAUCAAGAUAUUAGGGUCCAGAGUUCAGAUCAAGAUGGUAGGGUCCAGAGUUCAGAUCAAGAUAUUAGGGUCCAGAGUUCAGAUCAAGAUGGUAGGGUCCAGAGUUCAGAUCAAGAUGGUAGGGUCCAGAGUUCAGAUCAAGAUGGUAGGGUCCAGAGUUCAGAUCAAGAUGGUAAGGUCCAGAGUUCUUAGGACCAGGAUUGUACAUUCGGUAGGGGUUCCUGAGCAUUCCAUUUCACCAGCUAUUUGAAUGACCUCAAAAGAAGACCUCUCUAAGCGUGGAAUGGGUUAGGCAUGCAGGGUGAAUUAGGAAUAUAUUCUUCCUUUAUAAUGGGUAUAUAUGGGUAAUAGCAGGAGCAGCUCAUCAGCCUGUCUCAGCUAAUAACUUUUCAGCCUCCCCUCCUUGUCACACACAUGCAGUCGGACACACGUCUGCACACGUGUGUGAUGAUAAUCCUAAAACACGCUGUGUGUGUGAUGAUAAUGAUGAUUAGCUGGGACAUGAUAUCUAGCAAUGUCGUUCUCCCAGAGUGCCAUGGGGCUUGGGUGUGUGUGAUGCCUACCCAAACACACACACACAGCACCUGUAAUGGCUUGCAGCUGAAUCCAGCUCCCCAAAGAGGUUCUGCGAUGUGUGUGUUGUGUGCAUUGCGUAUGGUGUGUGUUGUGUGUGUAAUGACGGUCAGGCAUGCGAGUGGCAGAGGGCCACUUCCUCUACAGGUGACCUCUGACCCCUCAUCUGUUCUCUAUUAGGAGAAAGAGAUGGAAGUAGAGAGAGAGAGAGAUCAAGAGAUAGACGAUUGGCGAGUGAGAGGGGAGGGAGAUGAGGGAAAUCAAGAGGAAUGGAGUUUGAGGGAGGGUUGGCAUAACAACAUGGAAUUAGUAUAUACUGUAGAUAAAGGGUUAGGGUCAGAGGUCAGUAUAAACUGUAGAUAAAGGGUUAGGGGUUUAGGUCAGUAUAUACUGUAGAUAAAGGGUCAGGGGUUAAGGUUAGAGGUCAGUAUAUACUGUAGAUAAAGGGUUAGGGGUUUAGGUCAGUAUAUACUGUAGAUAAAGGGUCAGGGGUUAAGGUUAGAGGUCAGUAUAUACUGUAGAUAAAGGGUUAGGGUCAGAGGUCAGUAUAAACUGUAGAUAAAGGGUUAGGGAUUUAGGUCAGUAUAUACUGUAGAUAAAGGGUCAGGGGUUUAGGUCAGUAUAUACUGUAGAUAAAGGGUUAGGGGAUAAGGUCAGAGGUCAGUAUAUACUGUAGAUAAAGGGUUAGGGAUUAAGGUCAGAGGUCAGUAUAUGCAGUAGAUAAAGGGUUAGGGAUUAAGGUCAGAGGUCAGUAUAUACUGUAGAUAAAGGGUUAGGGAUUAAGGUCAGAGGUCAGUAUAUACUGUAGAUAAAGGGUUAGGGGAUAAGGUCAGAGGUCAGUAUAUACUGUAGAUAAAGGGUUAAGGGUUAAGGUCAGAGGUCAGUAUAUACUGUAGAUAAAGGGUCAGGAGUUUAGGUCAGCAUAAACUGUAGAUAAAGGGUUAG